rnacentral:lncRNA from 1 species
UGGAGUUCUCCAUGAGGCAGCGGCUUCUCUCUCUCUCUCUCCUCUGUGAGAGACAGAGCGGAGCCGCAGUGGACCGGACAUGUACGAAAUUCGUACGGUAGAUAACCGUUUUUUCACAUCCCAAUGCACAACAGGAAUUUAUUCAUUCAUUAAAAAAACACACAAAAAGGGCCAUAUACUGUAUGUGUGCACGUGUCUGAUUGUCACUGCUGAUUUUUUUUCCCUUCUGUGUAUUCAUGGAGUCAAUGAGUUAUGUAAUAAUGUGGUCUCAGUUUAAAGGAGCAAUUUUAGUCUCCUUCCAAACUCUACAAUCCCAAAAAUAGCACCUUUCAAUGUUAGAAACGGAAGUCAAUUUUUAGACAUCUUUGCCCUCCAUAAGCGGAUGUUUCUCUUGAAUGAACCUUUAACAUAGUUUAACAAAUUUGGCAAAUAAUGCCACAUUAAAAUGUGAAUUAACAUCUGUGGUUGACAGGACCUCAGAGGGGAAGUGGUGAAGCUUUGUGCUUUUCUGGGAAAGGACUUGACAGAUGAAGCCAUUGAUCGUGUUGUGGAGAUGUCCACCUUCAAAAACAUGAAGACCGACCCUAAAGCAAACUACAAGGACUUAGUUGAAGUCCACCGCUACAAGACAGAAACCAUGCGCAAAGGUAACGCAGGUGACUGGAAGAACUUGUUCACAGUUGCCCAGAAUGAACAUUUUGACAAAGUGUUCAAGGACCGGAUGAGCGACCUGCCUCUCAGCUUCAUCUGGGAGAUCAAAGAGUCACUGCCUCUUAGAGAGCCGACCUCAACAUGAGCUCAGAGUCACAGAGAUAGUGAUUCAAAAACAGCCUCCUCUUCUGUUUAAUCUUGUUUCGUUGUUCUCAACACCUGAAUUCUCUGCGAAUGCCUCCUCCGACCCUUCUGUGUACGCAACCUUCAACUUCAGGCUGAUCCAACUGUGAAUCACAUUUUGAUCGGAUAAAUCAAUGUGACUCUUGGCACAAAAUAACUCCUCCCACUUUGCAACUCUAUAAUAUGGAAGUGAACGGGGAUAAAUAUAAAAAUAAAUUAAUGUAAAAAUGUGCUCCUUUGGUUGUGAUGCAGUGUGCAAUCUGCAAAAUAACUGGUAAAUAAUUAUAAAGUGGAAGUAUACCGUAAAGUAGUAGGAAAUUGAAAUGCUGAUAUAAGUUGAGUAAAACUGUAAUUGUAAAAU